AUGAGUAUCAUGGUGUCAAUUGUGGGCAGUAUUACAUGAUGUAAAUAGGUAUUCUGAUCAACACUAAGAAUUAAUUAAUGCUAUUGCAAAUUAUACAUGAUUGAAUUUAUACACUAUAGAGCAGGAUCAAGAGCUGUUUCUAAGUAAAAGAUAGAUUUACUUAAAAGCUUAUUUAAGUUAAUUGGUAACUUAAAUAACUAGUGAGUCUUAAUUAAAACCAGAUGGCAAACGUACAGUUCAUUAUCAGUGGAGUGGGGGGAAAGUUUUGGCACUGGAUUUUAGUGGGCAGGAGAAUGUUUACUGAAAGUUGGAAUAACAGGGGUAAAUUUGGAAGUUAUCACAUUUAAACUGUUGCAUAUCAGCUGAUGAAGUACACAGUUGUUGCUCAGUACAUAUAGACGAAGCUGAAGAACUUGCCACUAUGUUUUUGCACUUGAAUUCAAUACCUGCUCUUGUCUUCCCUGUUAAAGUAGAAAGGUUGUGAAUUUUUGCAACAACACUGCCAACAACCACUUGGUAAGAGGACGCAGAUUUCUGCUUUGAAGUUAAACAGUUCAAGGUAAGUUCAGAAGGUAUUUCUUGCUAACUUUAUUCAUUAACGCUAUUCUUGAAGACUCAAAGGUUGGUUUGUUCUUCUAUAGACUUGUCUCUAUCCUUUUAUUUUCUGGACAACAUUUUUUAUUGUUGUUCAGAAUUUUCUUACUGGUUUCCUGUUGGCUUUCUUCUUUUUCUUAUUUUUUGAGAUUCAUGCUGAGAUUUUCUAAUGGGUACGAAGUUGGAGAUUGAGAGGGUUGUAGUGAUUUCUAUUAGCUGGGAUGUAUUCGGGAAGAAUAUAUCUCAUCAGAAAAUUUUUUUCUGAUGAGUUAUGUGGGAUAAGGAAAUAGAGAGUUGUCCAUUAAAUGGAGAGUGAAAUGCUUGAGUACAGAGUCCAAAAAAGGAAAAAAAAAUUUACUGCAUUGUGUGACUUAACCAAACCUGUUUAAUAAUUGGUUAGGCUUGGUUUUGGAGACUGCAAUGCACUCCAUAUAUCUUAACCAACCUGUUUCAUAGUCAAGUAUGCUUACUAGUGAAUUGAAAUCCUGAUAAUUAUGGUACAUUAAAUAUCUUGAACCUUAUCCUUCGGUGAAUUGAUACGGUUACUAUAUUGGGCAGGUCAUGCUGCAUGCCCAGUAACCAGCCAUUCAGUCAUUGAAGAUAGUUCAAAAGUUCUCUAUCACUUGGAUUACGAACCUCAUAAGGUGGGGUGUUACCAACAGCAGCAUUGGUCCAGUACAAGAAAAAAUAGGAGAUAAAGUUGGAUAACUAGAUGGAACAAAGUGGGAGAGGAAGGGGUAGAGGAGUUCAACACUUCAAAAGAUGAUGUGGACCUUAUUCAAGAGGCUGACCACGGCCUCCACUUAUUUGCCAAUGGAGUCAGCGAGAGACUCAAGGCGAGAGCUCUGAUGAGUCAACACAGCCACCCUCCAUGGAAAGAAAUACUGUCAACGCUAAUCCAAUACCAACAACGGACACAAAUAGAGACAAUAUUUCAAGUUGGAGUCAGCGAGAGGGUCAACACGAGAGAUUAGAUGAGUCAGCACAACCACCCUCCGUAGAAAGAAAUGAUGUCAAUGCCGAUCCAAUACCAACAGCGGACACCAAUAGGGACAAUAUUUGGCGAUGGAAUCAGCGAGAGGGUCAAGGCGAGAGCUAUGAUGAGGCAACACAGCCACCAUCUGUAUUCAGAAAUAAUGUGAACACCAAUCCAAUACCAACAGCGGACACUAAUAGAGACCCAAUUUGGCGAUGGUUAAUGUGAGAGGUUAAUGGGGAAAUGCAUGAUGAGUCAACACAGCCACCAUCCAUAGAAAGAUAUCAUGUCUACGCCAAUCCAAUACCGACAGCAGACACUAAUAGAGACAAUAUUUGGCGAUGGAGGUCAGCGAGAGGGUCAAGGUGAGAGAUAUGAUGAGUCAACACAGCCACCGAUCGUUCAAAUAAAUACUCCCAGAACCAAUCUGAUUCUGGGGGCCAUUUCUACUAGAGAUAAUAUUGAGGACGAAGCAACGGUUCCCGUAACAAACGUUGGUCAACAGAAACGUGGACGUGGGCCCGCUAAGUGUACUGAGUUCGAUAAAUUGAGGAGGCAUGAGAAAGUACCCUUGAGAAUAAAUGAUGGGGAAAUAACACCUUGCUAUGAGAAUGCCUCAUUCUUUACAACACGAGUAACGUGGAUUUUAAAACAUCAUGCGGACAUGAGCUUCGCAAGAUGGACGGAUGUACCCAAGUCCGUUAAGGAUGAGUUGAUUAACAGGGUCAGGGGUGACUUUGAAUUAGAUUGGGAACUUAAGAACCAUCGGUUGGUAGUUUGGAAGCAACUGCGUAAGAGAUUUAACGCCUUCCACCAUGAGCUUCACAAGAAGUAUUUGGCAUAUGCGAGUCAUGAGGAGGCAUUGGCCGGUGGGACAAGCUUGGUCUCGCUCUUGGUAUGGGUUAAGCUAUGUGGCCGAUGGGGAAGUGACCACUUCAAGAAAAUCUCAAACAUAAAUAAGGAGAAUCGUAAGAAGCUGAAGAUUAAUCACACUGCAGGGUAGAAAACGUUUGUGAGGAUCCUAGAGGAAAAGCGAUCUAAAGGAGCAAACUUAGUGGACUUCUACAAAGCAGUCCGUUGGUCAAGAAGAAUGAUAGAUUCGUCAUAGAUGCCAGUGAAGAUAUUUAUAAGGAGAUGGCUGGAAAGAUGGAUGACUUAGCCCCUGAGAAUUGCACUGAAGAGGCAGCUAAGGCUGUCUUUAGGGAGUUACUUGGGCAUAGGUCAGGAUAUGCACAAGGCCUCAGAGAGAUGGUGAUACCAGAGUCUACAAGAGAAAAGGACGUGUUACAAGCUAAAGAGUAUGCAAUGAUAGUGGAAAAACAUAAGAAAGAUGCGGAGGACUACAAGAGUUAACUAGAUCGUGUGAGGGAAGAAAUGCGAGUGGUUGUGGAGCAUCAAAUUGAAACUAAUGCUCUUUUGAGGAGUUUCAUGGCUUCAUUUUAGUCACGCGAGGGGGACGGAGUUCGGGGGAGACAGUGACCCCCGAAUUGCAUGCAAAAACCUUUUAGAUAUUUUUUGACUUAUUUUGGGUGCCUUUUUUGUGGGUUAAUAUGGUGCAUGCUUAUUGCAUGCUUUUUGGGAAAGAAGGAGAGGGUGGCUGGGGGAAAACAUAUAAAUAUAUACAUAUGUAUAUAUAUAUGUAGCAAUCUGCUGUCUAUAUAUGCCUUCUGUAUAGGGUACGAACUGGUCCUUUUUUUUGGAAGCCAAAAGGGCAGGUAUGGGAUGGUUGGGGGAGAAGCAAUUUCUCUACCUGGCAAUGUAUUAGAUAGUUAAUGAACAGACUAGCUUGUUUUAAACUAGUAAGUUAGCAUAUUAGGGGAGCAGUUCAAUGGGGUUACAUAUUUGAAGCAGAAUUAGAAAAAAUACAAUAUGUAAGUAUGACAAUUUUCACAGCAACUCGUGAAUUUACUUGGUCACACUCUCUCAAUUAUUAAGAAGAUAAUUGACAGGAUUGUUGGUAUGCAGGUACUGCAUAGACCCGUGGUUGGGAAUUGGUUGCCUUUAGGCUGUCGCAACUAGACAGCAAUGUGGGGGACAACAUCCAUAAGCAAUAUCCCAAAUCAAAAUGUUCAACUGUAAUGAAAAUGUGUGGAGAUGUCUGGUGGUUGGACAUAAUGUGACUUCAUUUUGAUAUUAAUGGGCGGCCACUUUCAUUUUUUUGUUGGAGGGCUAUAUAUGUUAAUUAAGAAGUUCCACCCACUCCAGCCAGAAAUGUGUAGGGCUAUGCUGCAAUGUGUGAUGACAGUUCAGAGGGCAUGGACCAAUAGGUUCAUUGAGUACAAUGCAAUUACAAUAUAUCAGUUAGGGGAUAUAUAAUGUGUAAGAAAUCAGUCUCUCCUCUCUUUCUAUGUGUGAAUUACAUGAAUGCACCAGUGUAUAUAUAUGGAUACUGAAAGUUUAAAUACAUGUGGCAAUUGUGGGGAUUGGACUAGUUAGUAGGGGCUGGGCAAUUGUAAGGAAGCAAGAAAAAAGUUCUGGAAACAGAGGGAAUUUUUGUUUGUACAAUGUCACUGGUUUCAGAGCUUGAUGAUCAAUGAAGCUGUGAUUUUGUAUGGCUAUAUGAUGUUUGGGUUGCAACAGUUUUAUUCUGA